GGGGCUGUUUCUGUCCCAGUGUAUGAGAGGUUAUAAACAGUAUCUGAGUUCCUUGUCUUGGACAUGGAUGACCUGGGUAGAAUUAUAAAGUUAAAAAGGAAGCAUCUGCGAGGGUGAUAACUCCAGGGGGGAAGGAACUGGUGAAGCAGUUCUAUCUUCUGGUGUGGACAGGUUUCCCUGCCCGCGCUGGUGUAACAGGUUUGCCUUGUUCCCCUCCCAGCCCUUUGUGCAAAGGAAAUUCCACAGCGAAUUUACCUCAGAUGAUACUAGUGCUGCUUUCUGUUUGGUCUCUGCGUACUUUUUACUCAAGUAGUUAGGGAUUAAACUCUAAAGUCGUGACGUAACUUGUGUUGUCUGGCUUUGCAACGUGUUCUCGGUGGACGUGGCUCUGAGGACAGAGGGCUUUGGUGCCCCAUCUCCAAAAGCCUCGCACUGUUCCUUGGAACACUGUGGUUGUGCUUUAGGCAGUGUGGCAGGCUCAGACAUUUAAAUGUGUUGUUAGCAGCAGGAAGGAGCACUCUGAAAUGAGUUGAACAGCGUUGUCUCUUAGUUGUUAUGAAGUCUGCUCUUAAAAGUAAUAACUUCUACUGAUGAACAAAAGCGUUGCCCGUUCCCUGUCUCUCUUCAAAGGCAGCUGUGUGAAGAGCAGCAUUCUACUCGGGUUCAAAUCGGUUGAGUCAGGUUAAAAACACAUGCAGUUCUGUUAUUAACAUAA